rnacentral:rRNA from 1 species
AACGAACGCUGGCGGCGUGCUUAACACAUGCAAGUCGAACGCGAACGGUUCCUUCGGGGACUUAGUAGAGUGGCGCACGGGUGAGUAACGCGUAAGUAAUCUACCCUCGCAUCGGGGAAUAACCCCACCGAAAGGUGUGCUAAUACCGGAUACGUCUGGGAUAAUGACUUUUUUACAGAGAAAGGCAGCCUCUGUUUACAAGCUGUCGUGCGGGGAUGAGCUUGCGUACCAUUAGCUAGUUGGUAGGUAAGGGCCUACCAAGGCGACGAUGGUUAGCGGGUCUGAGAGGAUGAUCCGCCACACUGGAACUGGAACACGGACCAGACUCCUACGGGAGGCAGCAAUGAGGAAUAUUGCGCAAUGGGGGCAACCCUGACGCAGCGACGCCGCGUGGAUGAUGAAGGCCUC